AUGAUCCAGAGCUCAACUACCCAAGUGAUCAGUGAAGAUCCAAUGUAUAUCCUUCCUGAAGAAGUAAAAGAAGCUCCUGUAGUUGAAGAUGAAGAACCAGAAAUUCAUUUGCCCAUCGUCAUACAAGAGCGUGAUGCAGCAGGUUUAUCUAAUCCUCUUGAUGACAUGCGUCCAUAUGAAUUGUUUGCUACUACCUUGCAUUACAUGAUACCAUCACUUAAGAUUGAUUUGAAAACUCAUUUGCUUGGAUAUGAUGAUACAUACACUAUUGGUGGUAUUGCUCUCAUUUAUGAUGAUGACACUUAUUCUCCUCAUGCUAGUCCUUUGCUUAAUGAAACAUAUCAUUCUUAUGCUAGUCUUGAGCUUAAUGAUAAAUAUCAUCCUCAUGUUAGUGUAGACCUUGCUGAUUUCUACCAUCCUAAACAUGUGCUUUAUAGCUAUGCUUAUGUAAUUGGAUACUCGAUUGAUGACUUGGAGGAUAUUAUCCCUACCACAUGCAUUGUCUCUUUUGUGGAGUGUUCUUUCAAGUUUUUGCUUCUGCACCGUUCAUUUCAUGCUGACCAGGUUCGAGGUGACAUUCCUUAG
rnacentral:rRNA from 1 species